AGAGUUUGAUCAUGGCUCAGGACGAACGCUGGCGGCGUGCCUAACACAUGCAAGUCGAACGGAGGUAUUUAUUUCGGUAGAUAUCUUAGUGGCGCACGGGUGAGUAACGCGUGAAUAACCUGACCCGAAGAGGGGGAUAACACCUGGAAACAAGUGCUAAUACCGCAUAAGACCACGGACCGGCAUCGGUCAGAGGUCAAAGGAGGAAUCCGCUUUGGGAGGGGUUCGCGUCCCAUUAGGUAGUUGGUAGGGUAACGGCCCACCAAGCCGACGAUGGGUAGCCGAGCUGAGAGGCUGAUCGGCCACACUGGAACUGAGACACGGUCCAGACUCCUACGGGAGGCAGCAGUGGGGAAUAUUGGGCAAUGGGCGCAAGCCUGACCCAGCAACGCCGCGUGAGGGAAGAAGGUUUUCGGAUUGUAAACUCCUGUCGUAAGGGAAGAGAAAGGACUGUACCUUACAAGAAAGCUCCGGCUAACUACGUGCCAGCAGCCGCGGUAAUACGUAGGGAGCGAGCGUUGUCCGGAAUGACUGGGUGUAAAGGGAGCGUAGGCGGGAUGGCAAGUCAGAUGUGAAACCUGAGGGCUCAACCUUCAGACUGCAUUUGAAACUGCUGCUCUUGAGUGAAGUAGAGGUAAGCGGAAUUCCUGGUGUAGCGGUGAAAUGCGUAGAGAUCAGGAGGAACAUCUGUGGCGAAGGCGGCUUACUGGGCUUUUACUGACGCUGAGGCUCGAAAGCGUGGGGAGCAAACAGGAUUAGAUACCCUGGUAGUCCACGCUGUAAACGAUGAUUACUAGGUGUGGGGGGAUUGACCCCUUCCGUGCCGCAGUUAACACAAUAAGUAAUCCACCUGGGGAGUACGACCGCAAGGUUGAAACUCAAAGGAAUUGACGGGGGCCCGCACAAGCAGUGGAGUAUGUGGUUUAAUUCGAAGCAACGCGAAGAACCUUACCAGGUCUUGACAUCGAGUGACGUAUCCAGAGAUGGAUAUUUCCUUCGGGACACAAAGACAGGUGGUGCAUGGUUGUCGUCAGCUCGUGUCGUGAGAUGUUGGGUUAAGUCCCGCAACGAGCGCAACCCUUAUCAUUAGUUGCUACGCAAGAGCACUCUAAUGAGACUGCCGUUGACAAAACGGAGGAAGGUGGGGAUGGCGUCAAAUCAUCAUGCCCCUUAUGACCUGGGCUACACACGUACUACAAUGGCGAUCGAACAGAGGGAAGCAAGACAGCGAUGUGGAGCCAAUCCCAAAAAAUCGCCCCAGUUCAGAUUGCAGGCUGCAACUCGCCCGCAUGAAGUCGGAAUUGCUAGUAAUCGCAGAUCAGCAUGCUGCGGUGAAUACGUUCCCGGGCCUUGUACACACCGCCCGUCACACCAUGGGAGUCGGUAACACCCAAAGCCGGUCGUCUAACCUUCGGGAGGACGCCGUCUAAGGUGGGAUUGAUGACUGGGGUGAAGUCGUAACAAGGUA
rnacentral:rRNA from 1 species